AUUGAACGCUGGCGGCAUGCCUUACACAUGCAAGUCGAACGGUAACAGGUUAAGCUGACGAGUGGCGAACGGGUGAGUAAUAUAUCGGAACGUGCCCAGUCGUGGGGGAUAACGUAGCGAAAGCUACGCUAAUACCGCAUACGAUCUACGGAUGAAAGCGGGGGAUCGCAAGUCCUCGCGCGAUUGGAGCGGCCGAUAUCAGAUUAGGUUGUUGGUGAGGUAAAGGCUCACCAAGCCUGCGAUUUGUAGCUGGUCUGAGAGGACGACCAGCCACACUGGAACUGAGACACGGUCCAGACUCCUACGGGAGGCAGCAGUGGGGAAUUUUGGACAAUGGACGCAAGUCUGAUCCAGCAAUGCCGCGUGCAGGACGAAGGCCUUCGGGUUGUAUACUGCUUUUGUACGGAACGAAACGGCGAGCUCUAAUACAGUUUGCUAAUGACGGUACCGUAAGAAUAAGCACCGGCUAACUACGUGCCAGCCGCCGCAGUAACAC
rnacentral:rRNA from 1 species